rnacentral:rRNA from 1 species
GAUGAACGCUGGCGGCGUGCCUAAUACAUGCAAGUCGAGCGAACAGACGAGGAGCUUGCUCCUCUGACGUUAGCGGCGGACGGGUGAGUAACACGUGGAUAACCUACCUAUAAGACUGGGAUAACUUCGGGAAACCGGAGCUAAUACCGGAUAAUAUAUUGAACCGCAUGGUUCAAUAGUGAAAGACGGUUUUGCUGUCACUUAUAGAUGGAUCCGCGCCGCAUUAGCUAGUUGGUAAGGUAACGGCUUACCAAGGCAACGAUGCGUAGCCGACCUGAGAGGGUGAUCGGCCACACUGGAACUGAGACACGGUCCAGACGCCUACGGGAGGCAGCAGUAGGGAAUCUUCCGCAAUGGGCGAAAGCCUGACGGAGCAACGCCGCGUGAGUGAUGAAGGUCUUCGGAUCGUAAAACUCUGUUAUUAGGGAAGAACAAAUGUGUAAGUAACUAUGCACGUCUUGACGGUACCUAAUCAGAAAGCCACGGCUAACUACGUGC